GAUGAACGCUGGCGGCGUGCCUAAUACAUGCAAGUCGAGCGAACAGACAAGGAGCUUGCUCCUUUGACGUUAGCGGCGGACGGGUGAGUAACACGUGGGUAACCUACCUAUAAGACUGGGAUAACUUCGGGAAACCGGAGCUAAUACCGGAUAAUAUUUCGAACCGCAUGGUUCGAUAGUGAAAGAUGGUUUUGCUAUCACUUAUAGAUGGACCCGCGCCGUAUUAGCUAGUUGGUAAGGUAACGGCUUACCAAGGCGACGAUACGUAGCCGACCUGAGAGGGUGAUCGGCCACACUGGAACUGAGACACGGUCCAGACUCCUACGGGAGGCAGCAGUAGGGAAUCUUCCGCAAUGGGCGAAAGCCUGACGGAGCAACGCCGCGUGAGUGAUGAAGGUCUUCGGAUCGUAAAACUCUGUUAUUAGGGAAGAACAUACGUGUAAGUAACUAUGCACGUCUUGACGGUACCUAAUCAGAAAGCCACGGCUAACUACGUGCCAGCAGCCGCGGUAAUACGUAGGUGGCAAGCGUUAUCCGGAAUUAUUGGGCGUAAAGCGCGCGUAGGCGGUUUUUUAAGUCUGAUGUGAAAGCCCACGGCUCAACCGCGGAGGGUCAUUGGAAACUGGAAAACUUGAGUGCAGAAGAGGAAAGUGGAAUUCCAUGUGUAGCGGUGAAAUGCGCAGAGAUAUGGAGGAACACCAGUGGCGAAGGCGACUUUCUGGUCUGUAACUGACGCUGAUGUGCGAAAGCGUGGGGAUCAAACAGGAUUAGAUACCCUGGUAGUCCACGCCGUAAACGAUGAGUGCUAAGUGUUAGGGGGUUUCCGCCCCUUAGUGCUGCAGCUAACGCAUUAAGCACUCCGCCUGGGGAGUACGACCGCAAGGUUGAAACUCAAAGGAAUUGACGGGGACCCGCACAAGCGGUGGAGCAUGUGGUUUAAUUCGAAGCAACGCGAAGAACCUUACCAAAUCUUGACAUCCUUUGACAACUCUAGAGAUAGAGCUUUCCCCUUCGGGGGACAAAGUGACAGGUGGUGCAUGGUUGUCGUCAGCUCGUGUCGUGAGAUGUUGGGUUAAGUCCCGCAACGAGCGCAACCCUUAAGCUUAGUUGCCAUCAUUAAGUUGGGCACUCUAAGUUGACUGCCGGUGACAAACCGGAGGAAGGUGGGGAUGACGUCAAAUCAUCAUGCCCCUUAUGAUUUGGGCUACACACGUGCUACAAUGGACAAUACAAAGGGCAGCGAAACCGCGAGGUCAAGCAAAUCCCAUAAAGUUGUUCUCAGUUCGGAUUGUAGUCUGCAACUCGACUACAUGAAGCUGGAAUCGCUAGUAAUCGUAGAUCAGCAUGCUACGGUGAAUACGUUCCCGGGUCU
rnacentral:rRNA from 1 species